AAAUAAAAGGGCACGAACCCUAACAUUUGCGAGCGCCGCUGCUGCUCCUUCUCUUUCUCCUUCUUUUCCACACUAUUUAUCUUCCACUGCAGUCCCCAUUUUAUUGUGUUCAUUUUGGCUGAAGAAAAUAUAUUCUCUUCCUACAAUAAUAUUAUCGUGUUCUUCCUUUUUUUUUUUGGAAUUGGAUUAGAGUAACGAAAUCAAUUACAAAAUCGAAAUCGCUGUGACGACUCGGAAAAUUCAAGCUCAACAGACCGGAUUGCAGCUCCCUCUUCUGAAGAACAUUGAGGACGUUUGCCGGCAGAAUCGAACCAAUUACUUAAUUUGCCACCACUGAGUAAACGAAUACAUUUCUCAUUUUGAGAUACUUAUUUCCUAUUUCUUUUUUCCAUUUAAAACUAUUUUCUAUGUGUUCUACAUUCUGAAUUUGAUUGGGAUGAAGCAAUAUUUUAAUUUCCAACACUUGGACUGAGAGGUAGGAAAUCUCACCUCUAGUGAUGCAAUAAUUUGCUACUGAAUCAUGUUUAAUAUAAUCACCGUUUAUUUUUUUUGUAUUUUUGGCUUUUUUUUAUGUUAAUUUUAAAGGAAUUAUGUGGAUAAAACACAUUUAUGUUUUGAUUUUAUUGGAGGAUCAUCAUGUGAUGAAUACACUUACAAAUCUUAGGACACCUUUGGACACAGUCUCUUUCUAGAUGUGAAUGAAAAUCAACUUUAUUCUGAUGAUGAUCAAAACUGCCUUUUUAAUUUUUUCCGUUCUUUAAAUAAAUCAAAUCUUUUCUUGUAUUUGUACGAUAUUAUGAUUAUUUGAGUUUUUUUGGCAUUGUUUAUUUUCUUUUUUAACUCCUUAUUUCUAAUAAAUUGCUUUUUUUUUCAUUGUUCGCCAAAAAUUGUGUUUGAUUAUCUCCUAAAAAUUAUUGCCAAUUAUCUCAAAAAAAAUAUGGUUCAUCAAACACUAACAAAAUUCAAUUGUUAAAAUUCUCAACUUGGUACAAAUCCAAAAUUUGAUCUAUUCAAGGUAAGAGAUUCUUCUAAAAUUUGAUCCACGGCCACGAUCGUUCCUCAACCUGCCAACCUGCUGAGCUGCCCCUGCUUAAUAUCGUUACCGUCGGGCAAAUGUUCCGGAGCAUCAGCAGGAAUGCGAUGUUGAUGGAGGGCUAUGUCCGUCUCAUCACGAACGAGACCAUUAUGGCUGCUUUCAGGCUUUCGAUCCCUAUAUUUUCUAUGACUGCUUUUCCUUCGUGAAGUUUGAGCUGUUGUUGUGUCUGCAUCAAGCAUAGCAAUCAUUUCUUGCAUAAUUGGAUUUGUUGCUGAAUUUCGACUGAAUUGUUUCCACAUUUCAUCAAUUUCAUCUGAAUGAACAUCAGACAUAUUUUUGUGAUGUGUUCAAAUGAAAAAUUGAAUAGUUGUGAAAAAGAUAAAAGAAAGUGUGUGAUUUUUGUGCUUCAAAUGCUAAAUGUAACACUUAUAUAUAGCUAAAAUAUUUAUGACCGUUAGGAUAUAGUUGUUGUGAUUGUCAGAUAAUAAUUGUGUGCUUUUAUUAUAUUUAAAACUUUUGGAUUGAGUUGUUGGACUAUAAAUAUAAAUUUUUUAUUACAUUUAUGAUCAUUGAACGUGAUUGUUGUAUUUAGGGGCGGUAAUUGGUCCGAUUUGAUUAUAAUCAAAUCGAUUUUUUGAUUAAUUAGAAUCGAUUAAUCAUGAAAUAGUGAACUGAAAAUUGAAUCAAUUUUUAAUUCGAUUAACUGAUUAAUUGCUUAACCGAAUUAAUCGGUCUUUUUUGGGGCAAUUCAGUUUAUUUUCAAAAAAAUAGACUUCACCAAAUUGAAUCACGUGAAGAAACGAUUUUUUAAAGUCUAGAACUUGCAAUAUAGAAAACACAAUCAACUUCCUAGAUUUUUUCUGCACAAAGCCCAUUAAAAAGAAUUCAAAAGCUUAGAAAAUUCUUACGAUAUUGUUCAAAUGUUAUUUAGUGUCGUUUCUUACUGUCGCGUUCACAGGUGUUCCCUAUGUAUUCUCCUCGACUCCCUGAUAUUUCUGCGGCAACAUCAAAAGUGAUCAAGAGAAAUGAAGAGAUGAUGAUGAUAUAUAGCUCAUUAGUUAUUACCAUCUAGAAGUGUUUGUGAUCUGAAACAACUUAUUCAAUUCGGUUCUGUUGCUUUGAUCCCAAAGUAUAUGCUUGACAGUUGCUGGGGCCUCGUUCAGAUCGACAAAGUUGCUACAGUUACAUCCAACUUCUGAAUGUGCCAUAACGCGUGUGGUCGUGAUCCAGAAUAGGCAACAAUAACCAGAUGAUGACGCUACUUCCAAAAGGACGAUUCUUUCAGGUACAAGGAGUAUACACUUGUGUUGUGGUAUGUGCUAAGAAUACUAACGACUUUAGCAUGCAUAUGUAGUUCAAACAUCGAUUUGCUUAAAUGCUUUUUGAAAAUAGAAUUUUGAAUUAGAUGCAACUUUGGAUAAAGGAUCGUUAUUAGAAACUCUCACUAAGUUGUACACUAUCUUUCAAGUUAGUAGGUUACAACUUACAAGUGCCUAUAUAUUAGGGUUUAUAUUUGUGAAAAAUAUGCAAGUUCUUUGGAUAUCAAGCCAGAUUCUCUA